rnacentral:rRNA from 1 species
AAGCUGUCUCUUACUUUCUUUUUAAAACUUAAUUAUGUUGUGAAAAUGCAACAAAUUUAAAUAAAAGACGAGAAGACCCUUAGAGUUUGAAGAAAAGUAAAAUAAAUUAUUUAUAUGCUUUUUGUUGGGGCAACAAGGUAACAAGAAAAUUACCCUUGGGAAAAUACCAGGUCGAGUAAAUACUAGGUAAGAAUAAACUACCUUAGGGAUAACAGCAUAAUUUUAUAAAUAAGUUUGUGACCUCGAUGUUGGACUAG